CGUCAACAUAAAAUUGAAAUGUCAGAUAAACAAAUUUUAUUUAUUUACCUAUGUUAAUGUAAUGUUAAAUUAGUGUUUUCAAGGAAAACUGUUUAUUUUGUAUUUAUUUAUUUUUAUUAGAUAUAAAAUUUAUAUUAUACGAGCUUGUUUAUCAAUGGAAUCCCUCUUUACUAGUGGUACUUUUAAAUUGUGACCAUAGCUCUGAAGAUGACUUUGUAAGCCGAAAGAGUCAACGAGGAAUUAAAUGUUUUAUACACUUUUAAAA